ACCCCUACGGGAGGCAGCAGUGGGGAGUAUUGCACAAUGGGGGAAACCCUGAUGCAGCGACGCCGCGUGAGCGAAGAAGUAUUUCGGUAUGUAAAGCUCUAUCAGCAGGGAAGAAAAAUGACGGUACCUGAGUAAGAAGCACCGGCUAAAUACGUGCCAGCAGCCGCGGUAAUACGUAUGGUGCAAGCGUUAUCCGGAUUUACUGGGUGUAAAGGGAGCGUAGACGGCUGUGCAAGUCUGAAGUGAAAGCCCAGGGCUCAACCCUGGGACUGCUUUGGAAACUGUGGAGCUAGAGUGCUGGAGAG
rnacentral:rRNA from 1 species